ACAAUCUAGUUAUAAUAUUUCAAGUUUAUAACAAUCGUUGAUUAAACUAGAUAAUGAACAUUUUAAUUCAAGAACCACCAAACAAUUGAAAUUGAUUAAGCAUAGGAAUUAGAGGCUCAAUGUCAAACAACUUAAUGAAUAAUCCCAACAUAAGAACUAACACAUGCGUAAAAGAAAAAAUCAUGCAUACUUACUAAUCCAAUACUUAUCCCACAUUGCCCUCAAUGUGUAAAAAUAAAAGAAUAAAAGAAAGAAAGAGAAGGGUCAAAUGUACUCCCGGUGUAUGUUUAAUGAGGCAAAGGAUGGUGGAAGCGACCACUUCACAGUAUUGUAAGGAUGUUUGAGAUGUUGGCUUCCACUGUUUCUAGGUGAGCCUCAAUGCGAUUUAGUUGUUCUUCCACAGUAUAAUGGGCUGCUCUUUUUGCUCUCUAGGAGUCGGAUUGUGUGUUCGUCGAAACACUCUAUUACUUCGAGCAGUUCAUAUACCUGGGAGAACAAAAUAAAAUGCAGUAAGGGUGCCAGCAAGCAAACCCAUGAAUCCAAACAAUAUUCAUCUGAAGGAUCCAUAUGAUAAGCAUAUGUUAGAGAUGAAAAAUCAAUUCUAGAUGGAAAAAUAUUUAUAGCUAAAUGCAUGAUGUAUGGGUCGAUUAUAUGAGGUCAAUGGGCUUGAAUUACGGUAUGAAAACUACGUGCAAACCAAUAUCCUAAGUUGACCCUAAAAUCGGAGUGCAUGCACCACAAGAAAAAUAAUUCUGUCUUGGUUAAGACAAACAAAGAAUCAUUGCGGCCUGAAUAAUUAAAAGCAAGAAACCUAUGAAUAUAUAUCAGGGCCGGUUCAUGCAUUAGCAAGUCUUUUAGAAGUCUUGGAAUUGUAAGGAUGAUAUAUUCAGUUAGUCAAAGCCGAGUAAGCUAAGUUGGCAUAAAAAUCGCAAGAUAUCUUGAGUAAAGUAGUAUGGUAUGAGUCGGUUUGAACAUCGUCACGGUCAUCUAAACCCAUGGCUAUAUUAAAAUCUGAAAGAGACAUACUAAAUGUAUUACCAAACAGAAAAAUAGGUUAUAAAUUUGGAAUGCCGUACCUUAUUUCAUCAAAAGCGUCCGAGCGAACUUGUGGGUCUUUCAGUUCAACUGGUAUCAGACUUCUUCAAUGUCAGUGUCACCUCGAUCCAGUAAAAUGUAUUGGUGGUGCUAAAAAUUGAUUUCGAACUCGGUUAAAAGAAACCAAAACCUCAUCGGUCGAUUAGUUUGUAGUGUGAGCAAUAGCCUUCAUUUAGGCUCGAGAAGCAAACGACGAUAUGCAUUUAAGAUUGCACACGGCGGUGACGAUGGCUCAAAUGGCAGAAAAUGGCAUUUGGGUAGUUGUAUAGAGGGUUGCGAUGGUGUUUCUAAGGUAGUGGUGGGUUUUAAAAGUGGUGGCGUUAAUGGAGGAAAGGGGUAAGGUAGGGUGGUGGUUAGGUUUUGAAGAAGUGGUAGUUAGUUGAUGAAGGUUCGACGGUGAGAAAUGCGAACAACGAUAGUGCACAGUGAAAACGGAGGUUGAUUGAUGAUGGAGAAAAUAGUGAAAAUAAGUUGUGGCGCUUCUCCAAUCGGCGGCGUUUUGGUGGGGAGUAGACACGGUGGUGCGUGGGGGUUUUCAGACGUGAGAAAAGGAAGAUGAAUGGCGGCAAUGAUUGGCAGAGUUCAGCAAUGGGGGCAGCAUUGGGAAAGAGUAAAUUUUAGGUUUUUGUUUAAGGAGAGUUUGGGGAAGAAGAAGAAGAUAAAAAGGAAAAAAGAAAGCAAAGGAAAG
rnacentral:lncRNA from 1 species